rnacentral:rRNA from 1 species
GGGGUCUUGACUGCUAUUGCACCACAUGUGUUUUUCUUUGAAACAAACUUGCUUUGGCGGUGGGCCCAGCCUGCCGCCAGAGGUCUAAACUUACAACCAAUUUUUUAUCAACUUGUCACACCAGAUUAUUACUAAUAGUCAAAACUUUCAACAACGGAUCUCUUGGUUCUCGCAUCGAUGAAGAACGCAGCGAAAUGCGAUACGUAAUAUGAAUUGCAGAUAUUCGUGAAUCAUCGAAUCUUUGAACGCACAUUGCGCCCUCUGGUAUUCCGGAGGGCAUGCCUGUUUGAGCGUCGUUUCUCCCUCAAACCGCUGGGUUUGGUGUUGAGCAAUACGACUUGGGUUUGCUUGAAAGACGGUAGUGGUAAGGCGGGAUCGCUUUGACAAUGGCUUAGGUCUAACCAAAAACAUUGCUUGCGGCGGUAACGUCUACCACGUAUAUCUUCAAACUUUGACCUCAAAUCAGGUAGGACUACCCGCUGAACUUAAGCAUAUCAAUAAGCGGAGGAA